AUGGCAGUGAGCAUUAGUAUAUAUGUUGAGAAGUGCCCGGCCCUAGGAGUUGAAGCUAAGGUAAUACAUUUAGGUAAAGGCUGCUUUCAGGGAGUAGGUAGUGUUGAGACAUCAUCUCCGGAUCUUUCAGCCAUGAUAGGCUUGCUUUUGUUUGCUCUUUCAGAGGCGAACGCAUUAUCUUUUGCCAAGUUAAUUAACCCCCCCUUUCGCUUCGGAAAAGAGAGGGUGCGCGUUAUCCAGAUAAAGUUGACUUCUCCGAGGCGAUGCUCUACCGAAUCAUGCGCCUGUCAUGUGUUUGUCUGGUCCGGUUUGGAUAUAUUUAGCCACGGAUAUGCAUGGUGA
rnacentral:rRNA from 1 species